UAUUAAUGAUGGGAAACUGUCAAUUGAAUAAAAUUAUGAGGUAAGGAGCAUUUUAACACUGAGGGAA